CUCGCACCCACGAAUAACUGAAUCCCGCGGGACGGGAUAAGUGGCGCCCAACAUGGGGCUGGAAGGAGACAUUUUGCAGGGCAGAGUGCCUUCAUCAAAUUCCACCUAUGAUUGAAAAACAAGGAAAGAAAGCAAAUGUCUGGAACAUUGAGUUCCAAAGAGCAAAUUAAGUCAUAUCAACAACAAAGAUAUAAAAAUGAAAUGAAAACAAAUGAAGAGACAAGAACCCAAGCUCUGUGGCUAAGCUAAAACAACCUGCCUGUCCAUCUACCAAGUCUGUCCUGCUAGCAUAUUGAAAGAAACCUCAGAUGUCUAGUAAACCAUGGGUUAAACCAACAAACUCAAUCUUCUAAAAUAACACCAGCCUGCCAUUCAGGUGUAUCAGUCCUUGUGAGCCACUGGACCACUGGCAACAAUUUGGCGCCCAGACUGGAACCUGAAGAAGUUUAGGAGGACGCUGAGGGAACGCUGUUUUGUGUGGAGCUCCACGGAAGAAAAAGAAAAAGAAAAGGAUUGUAUCGGACAAUGAAGCAACAGAAAAAGAAGUUGUAGCGAGAUGGCUGCCUGAGAGAUUAGUUCGUCAACUGGACACAGAUCCUGAAUCUUCUAGUAAGUA
rnacentral:lncRNA from 1 species